CAAAAAAAAAUACACCACAAACAUAGUGGACACAAGGUUAGACGUGACAUAAAUGUGUCCUAGACAGACCCUUCUUUUCUUAGUGAAACAUCAACUUUCCAAAGACAAUAUUCCAAACUGGACAGUUGAUACAUAGAGCUAUUUUACUUUAACAUUUAAAGUGUGGCUGCAAAUCUGGGAUGCAGGAGGUGAAAAUUCAUUGUCUAAUCUGUUUCUCAGUUUCCUCUUUCAGAAACGAGAGAUUUUUCAAGACCUUGCUCCACUGCUGUGGCACUCCUUUGGCACUGUUGCUGCACUGCUCCAGGAGAUUGUGUCAAUUUACCCUUCACUUUCACCUCCUACUUUGUCGCUAGUUGCAUCAAACCGUGUCUGCAAUGCACUUGCACUUCUUCAGUGUGUUGCUUCACACCCUGAGACCAGGAUCCCGUUCUUGAAUGCUCACAUCCCACUGUACCUGUACCCGUUCCUGAAUACUACCAGCAAGACAAGACCUUUUGAGUACUUGAGGCUUACCAGCUUGGGUGUUAUUGGUGCUCUUGUGAAGGUAAAUUAAAACUAGAUACUUAUGCAAACUAGGAAUGGAUGGUCCAUAUAGAUUUUUGCUUUAAAUGGUGAG